UACAGAGGUGGCAAGCGUUGUUCGGAAUUACUGGGCGUAAAGCGCACGCAGGUGGCUGAGUCAGUCGAUUGUGAAAGCCCUGGGCUUAACCUGGGAAUUGCAGUCGAUACUACUCAGCUAGAGUAUGGGAGAGGGUAGUGGAAUUCCCGGUGUAGCGGUGAAAUGCGUAGAUAUCGGGAGGAACAUCAGUGGCGAAGGCGGCUACCUGGCCCAAUACUGACGCUCAUGUGCGAAAGCGUGGGGAGCAAACAGG
rnacentral:rRNA from 1 species